rnacentral:rRNA from 1 species
UACCAGCACCCCGAGUGGUCGGGACGAUUAUUGGGCCUAAAGCAUCCGUAGCCGGUUCUACAAGUCUUCCGUUAAAUCCACCUGCUUAACAGAUGGGCUGCGGAGGAUACUAUGGAGCUAGGAGGCGGGAGGGGCAAGCGGUACUUAGUGGGUAGGGGUAAAAUCCGUUGAUCCAUUGAAGACCACCAGUGGCGAAGGCGGCUUGCCAGAACGCACUCGACGGUGAGGGAUGAAAGCUGGGGGAGCAAACCGG